CUGAUAAAAAUUGAAUAGAAAACUGGGUAGAGAUCAGGGAAAGAGGUGCGAUUCCUCUACAGGCCCUAGCUACUGUGAAGCGGACGAAAUCCCCUUGAUGUCACUGGAACAUUUCCGGGAAGGCGGGAAACUAGAAUGAUGCAAAGUCAGGAGACCUCCUCUAUUCAGCCUAUGCAGC
rnacentral:ncRNA from 23 species